CAUUAAGAUGGACCUCACAGUGGCCCUUGCACCAGCCCUGAGGAUUCCAGGGUCGUCUGGAGAUGGCUAUGGCACAUCCCAAGUGGACACUGCAUAG
rnacentral:lncRNA from 1 species